AGCACUGCGUGGUCUGCAGCCAGCUGUGUCGUCAGCCGGCUCGUUUAAAUACCAGUGCCAGAAAAAUUCAGCGUCUGGCAUCGUUGGUCUCCCUGCCGCUCGUGUUUGGAGUCCUGGUAUUGUGGCUGAAACAGAA